rnacentral:rRNA from 1 species
AGAGCGAACGCUGGCGGCAGGCUUAACACAUGCAAGUCGAGCGCCCCGCAAGGGGAGCGGCAGACGGGAGAGUAACACGUGGGAACGUACCUUUCGGUUCGGAACAACCCAGGGAAACUUGGGCUAAUACCGGAUACGCCCGCAAGGGGAAAGAUUUAUCGCCGGAAGAUCGGCCCGCGUCUGAUUAGCUAGUUGGUGAGGUAACGGCUCACCAAGGCGACGAUCAGUAGCUGGUCUGAGAGGAUGAUCAGCCUCACUGGGACUGAGACACGGCCCAGACUCCUACGGGAGGCAGCAGUGGGGAAUAUUGGACAAUGGGCGCAAGCCUGAUCCAGCCAUGCCGCGUGGGUGAUGAAGGCCCUAGGGUUGUAAAGCCCUUUCGGCGGGGAAGAUAAUGGACGGUACCCGCAGAAGAAGCCCCGGCUAACUUCGUGCCAGCAGCCGC